UACGGGGGGGGCAAGCGUUGUUCGGAAUUACUGGGCGUAAAGGGCUCGUAGGCGGCCAACUAAGUCGGACGUGAAAUCCCCAGGCUCAACCUGGGAACUGCGUCCGAUACUGGAUGGCUUGAAUCCGGGAGAGGGAUGCAGAAUUCCAGGUGUAGCGGUGAAAUGCGUAGAUAUCUGGAGGAAUACCGGCGGCGAAGGCGGCAUCCUGCACCGGCAUUGACGCUGAGGAGCGAAAGCCAGGGGAGCAAACGGG
rnacentral:rRNA from 1 species